rnacentral:lncRNA from 1 species
AUAGAAAGCGUUUGAUUUAUGAGCGUAGGACGAAUCGCAAACAGCAGCGGCUCAGCCCCGGCUGCGGCCGGGCUGCCCUGCUCAGCUCCGCGCCUGGGGCUGGAGACCCGCCGGGGUCCUCACACGCCUCCGCCGCUGCCAGGAUGUAGGGGGCAAAAGGGUGAAGGAAGAUAGGGUGCAAACCCAUGGAGAAAGAGCGCGAUUUCAUUGUAACUUCCAAGCCUUAACUAUUAAGAGCCGGGUUCCUGAAUCAACCCGCCCCCCACACAUGUUGCUUACACACUGCGUUUUCUCACGGUAAGUAGCCAUCACAACAGAGCUCAGUAAGGAAAAAAUCAGCAUGGGGAGAUAUAAGAAGGGAGGGGGGGGGGAGCAAGACAGCCCAGGAACGUGCCCUAGAUUACAUUUUAUUGAUAUUUCAUUUAAAGUGCUUUUUCUCUUUCUCUCUCUAGAAACUGGGUUAAUUUAUAACCUAGGGCGCAGAAACUCUCCAUUUUAAAUCUCAACUUGGUAACCUGGCUUCAAAGCUUUAAUGAUCCAUUAUUUGCCAUGUAAACAGAUUUAAGAAUGAAAUAUUGAUUUUUCUGACCCUGAAAAAAAGAAUCCUAGAAUGACUGGACCAGAGGAUUGGAAAGAACGCUUUCUGAAGUGCAUUUUCCAGCUAGUAACCAUGUUUUGUUUUAUUUUUGUUUUCUCUACCUUUUAGGUCUGUUUGCCUGGACCCAUCAACAUCUGGGAGACUAAUCAACCACACUGAAAAUGUUUCCGGGGGAUUGUGGGGGAGGGGGUUGGAAUGUAGAUGUUUGAAACAAAUGUGUAUAAAUAAAUGAAUUGUUGAUAACUUAGUUAUUGACCUGGAGACUGGUAGCUUGUUAAAGAAACUCCAUGUUCCU